rnacentral:rRNA from 1 species
UACGUAGGGACCAAGCGUUGUUCGGAUUUACUGGGCGUAAAGGGCGCGUAGGCGGCGCGGUAAGUCACUUGUGAAAUCUCUGAGCUUAACUCAGAACGGCCAAGUGAUACUGCAGUGCUAGAGUGUGGAAGGGGCAAUCGGAAUUCUUGGUGUAGCGGUGAAAUGCGCAGAUAUCAGGAGGAACACCGGUGGCGAAGGCGGGUCUCUGGGCCGAUGAUUGACGCUGAGGAGCGAAAGCGUGGGGGAUCAAACAGG